rnacentral:lncRNA from 1 species
UAAGUGGUAGAAAUGGGGGGAGCCGUCGUAAAGAGGGAGAGCUUAUAGACAGACUUGGAGAAGGACAACAAGGAGGAGAAGGAGAUGAGGAGGAAGGAAAAAGGGAAAGAGGAGUUGUCGGUGAGAAAGAGCGAGGAUGGAGGGAGCUGUCAUGGAGAUAGAGGGAUCAUAUACAGCCUUAGAGGUAGAGGAGGACGAGGAAGAGG